rnacentral:rRNA from 1 species
CUUGACGAGCAUAGAGCAUUGGAACCACCUGAUCCCAUCCCGAACUCAGCAGUGAAACGAUGCAUCGCCGAUGGUAGUGUGGGGUUUCCCCAUGUGAGAGUAGGUCAUCGUCAAGA